UUCACAACUUCACUUUCAAGAUGAUGCUCAGACUCUCUGUUCUGGUGACAGUGCUCUGCCUACCCUGUUUAAAUGGUCAGGCUUUGGAGUCCAUUCCCCCCACUUCAGUGUUGAAAAAGCCUCAGGAAGCCUUCAGUCUUUCCUGUAGAGGGUCUGGUUUUGACUUUGGCCAGUAUGGAAUGCACUGGAUCAGACAACCAGCAGGAAAAACACUAGAAUGGAUGGGAGUUAUUUGGUAUGAUGCAAGUAAAACCAUUUAUGCCAGCAGUGUGCAAGGACGUAUAGAAAUCACCAGAGACAACAGCAACAGCAUGGUGCAUCUGAGACUUUCCAACCUAAAGCCAGAGGACUCUGCUGUGUAUUACUGUGCUAGAGAGCCACAGUAACACAACCCUUCACUAGAGCUGAACAAAAACCCCUCACUGAACAGUUCUAACAUGAAACCACCAGAGGAGGAGCUCUCAGACCACUGAUGAUUUUUAGAUCAGCAUAAUAAGUCAAUACAUAACAUUGAAACAUAAUCUCGAAACAAAGGUGAUUAUUAAUUCCAGUUCUCAUAAACAUCAUUGCUCACAGAGGAAGGUUACUUUUCUUAAUCCCUCUUCUUUUCUUCAACAACCAAAAACAUAUUCUGGUAUACAUAACCCUCAAAGUAA